AUGCAUGCCGCUUCAGUGACUUGUACGUACCUCCUCGGCCUACUCACCGGUGUGGAGCGGCCAAAGCCCUCACUGCUAGCUCAAAUAGCCAUGGUGCCCAUAUUAUCAAGAAUGAUGAGCUCCAAGAACUCUCAUGGUAAAUGGAGGGUCUCUGAUGUUGCAAUAAAAAGAAAUGACAGAUGUUUUCUAGGAAGCCAUCUCAACAAGACAAAAUUCUUGAGUAAGGAAUUUUGUUGUGAAGCUAAGGCUGAUGUUAAGACAAAGUCCACUCUGUCUAGAUUGGAUACAAUUGGAGACAUGCUUCACGUAAUAUUCAGGGGUGGUCAAAACCAUGUGAAGUAUUACAGUCCCAUGGGUGCCGCUGCAUUGGCCUGCCCUGAGUCACCGGUAGCCAGUCAUACAUGCCGCUUCAGUGACUCGUACGUACCUCCUCGGCCUACUCGCCGGCGUCAAGCGGCCAAAGUCCUCACUGCUAGCUCAAAUAGCCAUGGUGCCCAUGAUUAUCACUCUCGGAUGAGCUUGGACACCUUGAGAUUAUCAAGAAUGGUGAGCUCCAAGAACUCAUGUGUAGCGAUAAUAACAUACAAAUGUCAUUGCAAUCCAGCAUGUCAAUGCUCUCUUGAGUGGGCUUCAUUAGAUGGAGCAAUGGCUUCGUUGAGAACCAGGGAGUGUCAAGAUAGUACAAGAACAACCAAGCCUUCUUACAGAGUGUUAGAUUGCUUGAUGCUGCUACUUCACGCCAGAUGUGUGCAUAACUACUUCCAUGAUGAGCCGAUAUUUGUCGAGCAGGUCAUGCCACGUCUUCCCACGGAGAUCCAGUGGGGACAGCUGGGCCUGUAG
rnacentral:rRNA from 1 species